GACGAACGCUGGCGGCGCGCCUAACACAUGCAAGUCGAGCGUGAACCGAGCCUUCGGGUUCGGGGAAAGCGGCGAACGGGUGAGUAACACGUGGGUAACCUGUCCUCGGCACCGGGAUAGCCCGGGGAAACCCGGAUUAAUACCGGACGGUCUCCGAAGCCUACGGGCGUCGGAGAAAAGGUGGCUUCGGCAUCCGGCCGAGGAGGGGCCGUGCGGCGGAUUAGCUUGUUGGUGGGUAACGGCCCACCAAGGCGACGANCCGUAGCUGGUCUGAGAGGACGAUCAGCCACACUGGGACUGAGACACGGCCCAGACUCCUACGGGAGGCAGCAGUGGGGAAUCUUGCGCAAUGGGGCGAAAGCCUGACGCAGCGACGCCGCGUGCGGGAAGAAGG
rnacentral:rRNA from 1 species